rnacentral:rRNA from 1 species
UACGUAGGGGGCAAGCGUUGUCCGGAAUCAUUGGGCGUAAAGAGCGUGUAGGCGGCUCGUUAAGUCUGCUGUGAAAGUCCAGGGCUCAACCCCGGGAGGCGGAUGGAUACUGUCAAGCUCGAGUCCGGAAGAGGCGAGUGGAAUUCCAGGUGUAGCGGUGAAAUGCGCAGAUAUCUGGAGGAACACCAAUGGCGAAGGCAGCUCGCUGGGACGGUACUGACGCUGAGACGCGAAAGCGUGGGGAGCAAACAGG